AAAGACUUUUCCCUCUCAUCGCACAACCCUAAUUUCCUUCCCCAAUUUCACUCUUAUCUUUCUCUCCAUCUCUCCUCUCAAUUUCUCACCAAUAUUAUGCACAGUCGGGAAUCCUAUCCCUCUCCAAAAUUUCUCGCCGCAGUGAGGCGGCGCUCCGCCUCAGCCACGUCUCUCUCUUUUCUUCACCUCAUUUUCCUCUCUGGCAGCAGCACACACACACAUAUAUAAAAACCCUAGUUUCGUCCUCUCUCAAUUCCGGCAGAAUUGCCGCCGAAAUGCCGCUGCUUCCUGGAGCUCGUCCGUCGUGCCGUCGACCACCGCCGACGUCUUCUCCGCUUCGACGGAACAAGGCAGCAGCAGAAGAAAUCGAGCAUUCUCUUCUGAAGAAUCGCUGCGACUUAAUUGUGUCGUCGUCGGUGUCUUCUCUCUCUCUACCUCGACGACAAGGUGGCGACAGUAGCUGCCACGCCUCUCUCACCCUGCUCACCGCUUACUCUACUCUGUCGAGUUUUAAUCGACUCGGUCUCAAGCGGGGUUACGCCACUUAAAGGAAAGGGAAGGAAGCCCUAAUUUCGCCACCUCUAUCAUCUGCUAUCCCUAGGCGCCGCUACUGCACCGCCUGCCACGUCGCGCCGCCCUUCUUGUCUGCUAACCCUAGCCACCGCGACCAGCGCCGCCUGCUCGUCAUCGCCCCUCUCGUCUGCUAACCCUAGCCACCGCGACCAGCGCCACCUGCUCGUCGCCGCCCCUCUCGUCUGCUUACCCUAGCCACCGCGACCAGCGCCGCCUACUCGUCGCGCCCCUCUCAUUGUAUGUACAAUUUUCUAUUUUUGCACAUUAGUUUGUUCGAUUUUGUGUUUGAUUGCAUUGACAAAGUAAAUCUCUCGUUGUUGUAGGACAUGGAAUAUGGGUUGAGGUUAAUUGUUGCCUCUAAUUCAUGGAUUUUGCACUGAGUUUAUUUUGUUUUAUUUUAGAUUUGCUAUCUGUUUAGAAGAGAUUUAGUGUUUCUAAGGUUAGUUUUGCUUCUCACUCCAUUGCUAUCAUCAGAGGUUAUCAAUUCUAGCUCUUCCCCUUCUACUAGAAAGCUGACUCACAUUUUUGUGCUUUUUAGAUUCUGUUUAAAGUGAGCUCUGUUUUUCUAUUGCAGAUUGAUUCCAUUUGCAUCUUACUUGAUGCUCGUAUAGUUGGGACUUUGGUGCAAUUUAUUUCUUCUUUCAUGUUCCUUAAGUUUGUUCCUAGCAAACACAUGGUAACAGUUUUGUGAUCUGAGGUUGGUAUGUUGGCCAGGUGCUUGUGCGCGCCGCUGGUUUCUAUCCGAGUCAGAAAGAUCAACAAGCAAGGAACAUUUCUGUCUUUAACCUCUGUAAGGUUAAUGCUUACUCAAAGAGUGGAUAAUCAAAAUCUAGGCAAACUUGCUGAAUGUGGCCAGUAAAUUCUGCAUUUGACGUGAUUAUAAAUAUUGCUGUAUAUUUCUCAACCCCAACUGGACUCAGCUUCAGGAGGUAUUCUUCACUUUGCGGUCGCGAGCAGCUCAACAGUUAUAUAGUUGAAGGAUAAGAUACAAGAUUAUAGAGCUUAUAGAGAGGUGCUGGUUUUAGAAGGCAACGGAAGCCCUAGUUUUUUUUUUUUUUUUGAGUUGGGCUCAAAACAUUAUGUAUGAAUGUUUUGUGAUAUAUAUAAUACUAUAUGUUAUUGA